rnacentral:rRNA from 1 species
UACGAGGGGGGCAAGCGUUGUUCGGAAUUAUUGGGCGUAAAGGGCGCGUAGGCGGUGCGGUAAGUCACCUGUGAAACCUCUGGGCUUAACUCAGAGCCUGCAGGCGAAACUGCCGUGCUGGAGUAUGGGAGAGGUGCGUGGAAUUCCCGGUGUAGCGGUGAAAUGCGUAGAGAUGUGGAGGAAUACCUGUGGCGAAAGCGGCUCACUGGACCGCAACUGACGCUGAGGCGCGAAAGCUAGGGGAGCAAACAGG